rnacentral:rRNA from 1 species
CUACGGGGUGCUGCAGUGAGGAAUAUUGCACAAUGGGGGAAACCCUGAUGCAGCAACACCGCGUGGAGGAUGACGCAUUUCGGUGUGUAAACUCCUUUUAUGAGUCAAGAAAAUGACGGUAGCUCAUGAAUAAGCACCGGCUAACUCCGUGCCAGCAGCCGCGGUAAUACGGAGGGUGCAAGCGUUACUCGGAAUCACUGGGCGUAAAGGACGCGUAGGCGGGAUGUCAAGUCAGGUGUGAAAUCCUAUGGCUCAACCAUAGAACUGCACUUGAAACUGGCAACCUAGAGUAUGGGUGGGGGAGAUGGAAUUAGUGGUGUAGGGGUAAAAUCCGUAGAUAUCACUAGGAAUACCGAAAGCGAAGGCGAUCUCCUGGAACAUUACUGACGCUAAGGCGUGAAAGCGUGGGGAGCAAACAGGAUUAGAUACCCGGGUAGUC